UGGGGAAUUUUGGACAAUGGGGGCAACCCUGAUCCAGCAAUGCCGCGUGUGUGAAGAAGGCCUUCGGGUUGUAAAGCACUUUUGUCCGGGAAGAAAUCCCCUGCCCUAAUACGGCGGGGGGAUGACGGUACCGGAAGAAUAAGCACCGGCUAACUACGUGCCAGCAGCCGCGGUGGUACGUAGGGUGCGAGCGUUAAUCGGAAUUACUGGGCGUAAGGCGUGCGCAGGCGGUGAUGUAAGACCGAUGUGAAAUCCCCGGGCUCAACCUGGGAACUGCAUUGGUGACUGCAUUGCUCGAGUAUGGCAGAGGGGGGUGGAAUUCCACGUGUAGCAGUGAAAUGCGUAGAGAUGUGGAGGAACACCGAUGGCGAAGGCAGCCCCCUGGGCCAAUACUGACGCUCAUGCACGAAAGCGUGGGGAGCAAACAGGAUUAGAUACCCUGGUAGUCCACGCCCUAAACGAUGUCAACUGGUUGUCGGGCCUUCAUUGGCUUGGUAACGUAGCUAACGCGUGAAGUUGACCGCCUGGGGAGUACGGUCGCAAGAUU
rnacentral:rRNA from 1 species